GACAGAGGAGCCAAGCGUUGUCCGGAUUGACUGGGCGUAAAGCGCACGCAGGCGGCUCGGCGCGUGGGGUGUGAAAGCUGGCGGCUUAACUGCCAGAUGCCAUCCCAUACGGCUGGGCUCGAGCCCUGCAGAGGUCCAUGGAAUUGCCGGUGUAGUGGUGAAAUGCGUAGAGAUCGGCAGGAACACCCAGGGGGAAACCAGUGGACUGGGCAGG
rnacentral:rRNA from 1 species